rnacentral:rRNA from 1 species
AUAUAAGUGAGAGACUGAUAGCAAACAAGUACCGUGAGGGAAAGAUGAAAAGAACUUUGAAAAUAGAGUUAACAGUACGUGAAAUUGCUGAAAGGGAAACGUUUGAAGUUAGUUUUGUAUUCGUUGGAUCAGCUUCGCAAGGAGUGUAUUCUGAUGAUAAGCAAGUCAACAUCAGUCUAUGAGUGUUGGAUAAGGGUUUUGAGAAUGUAGCAAUUUAAUUGUGUUAUAGCUUGAGACUUGGAUACGAUGCUUUGGAUUGAGGAACGCGUAGUAAGCUUUGAGCGGAUUCGAAAGGAUCUCCUUACUAUGGAUGUUGGUGAAAUAACUUUAAGCGACCCGUCUUGAAACACGGACC